rnacentral:lncRNA from 1 species
GGCUAAUUCCUUUAAUGUCCGAAAUGCUCCACCCUAUCGCUCCCUUAUGCUUUCUAAGGAUUCCUAAAAGUUCUUCCUCUUGUGACGUAGUCAAAUUAGAGGCAAUGAUAACGGGAUAAGACUCGUUAGGGCCUAGAAAAGCAUACUUAAGAGUGUCGGGAAGAGGUUUGAGUUCUACUUCCGGCGGUUGUGACUCAACGGUUUUCUUAGGUAAAGGCAAAUGCUCGGGUUCAACAUCACGCUCUUGACUUGUUGUAGGAAUGGUGGAUUCUAACAUUUGGUUGACCUCAUGUGUGUAGUCGGAAACAUCCCAAUCCUCUCCAAAAUGUUUUAAGCAAAAUUCAAGGGCAUCUUUGGGAUUCAUGAGAUCUUGAUCAACUAUUUCAUCAAUUAGAUUAACGUCCAUAGGUUGAUCAUAGAAAUCAUCGGAUUGUUUCCCCACAUGAAAGAUGUUGAGGUCGAUUGUCAUGUUACCAAAUGUUAGCUUCAUUAAUCCAUUCCUACAAUUAAUCAAGGCGUUGGAUGUAGCUAAAAAGGGUCGUCCUAGGAUGAUGGGAAUUUGAUUCUUCGGGUUCCUAACCGGUUCGGUCUCUAGGAUGACGAAAUCUACGGGAAACACAAAGUCACCUACUUUAAUUAGCACAUCUUCCUCUUGUGACGUAGUCAAAUUUGAGGCAAUGAUAACGGGAUAUGAAUCGUUAGGGCCUAGAAAAGCAUACUUAAGAGUGUCGGGAAGAGGUUUGAGUUCUAACUCCGGCGGUUGUGACUCAACGGUUUUCUUUGGUAAAGGCAAAUGCUCGGGUUCAACAUCAC